CCAGAGCACGAGUCCAUGGGGAAGGACUGAGAAAUCCUGGCAAGGGAGACUGGGACCUGAGGCUGAAACAGUGCCCAGGAGAUGUUCCUUUGAGAAUGAGCCCAAGGACUUUUGAGAACAAAGUCUCAAUAAUAACCUUUCUGGGUUUUGUCGGGUGGGUGUGACACCCUCAGGACUUCCCCACUGCCACACCCUCCUUUGCCCAGACUCUCAACCUGCGAUGCACACUGUUGUUGACCAUGGUGUUCUGGUCUAUAGGAAAAAGGGAAGAUUUGGGAAAAGGGGAAUGAUUGCUUCUUGUGGCUAAUGUGAGCUAAGACAGAAGGACAGCCAGCGGCUGUGUGAGUCACAGGGUAAAGAGGAAUUCAGAACAAAAUGACAAAGAGGACUAUCACACUCUCAGCACUUCCCACACCAACCAGUUCUGUGACACCACCUGGAUGUUCUCCAAUUUAAGUCAAUUCAGACACUGUCUACCCCAGAUAACGUCAGAUCACACAGUUAAGGGCUCAGUCCGGCACCAAGGGUAGGAAGAAUAACACUGUGGUUUUGGUCCCUGCUCUCAUGGAUCUUUGG